UACGUAGGGGGCAAGCGUUAUCCGGAUUUACUGGGUGUAAAGGGAGCGUAGACGGCAGGGCAAGUCUGGAGUGAAAGGCAGGGGCCCAACCCCUGGACUGCUCUGGAAACUGUCCGGCUGGAGUGCAGGAGAGGUAAGUGGAAUUCCUAGUGUAGCGGUGAAAUGCGUAGAUAUUAGGAGGAACACCAGUGGCGAAGGCGGCUUACUGGACGGCAACUGACGCUGAGGCUCGAAAGCGUGGGGAGCAAACAGG
rnacentral:rRNA from 1 species